CUCCGGCUAGCUCAGUCAGUAGAGCAUGAGACUCUUAAUCUCAAGGUCAUGGGUUCUGGCCCCAUGUUGGGUG
rnacentral:tRNA from 1 species